rnacentral:rRNA from 1 species
UACGUAGGCAGCAAGCGUUGUUCGGAGUUACUGGGCGUAAAGCGUGCGCAGGCGGUGAUGUAAGACAGUUGUGAAAUCCCCGGGCUCAACCUGGGAACUGCAUCUGUGACUGCAUCGCUGGAGUGCGGCAGAGGGGGAUGGAAUUCCGCGUGUAGCAGUGAAAUGCGUAGAUAUGCGGAGGAACACCGAUGGCGAAGGCAAUCCCCUGGGCCUGCACUGACGCUCAUGCACGGAAGCGUGGGGAGCAAACAGG